ACUGAACGCUGGCGGCAGGCCUAACACAUGCAAGUCGAGCGGGGUUUUCGGACCUAGCGGCGGACGGGUGAGUAAUGCGUAGGAAGCUGCCCGAUAGAGGGGGAUACCAGUUGGAAACGACUGUUAAUACCGCAUAAUGUCUACGGACCAAAGUGUGGGACCUUCGGGCCACAUGCUAUCGGAUGCGCCUACGUGGAGUU
rnacentral:rRNA from 1 species